rnacentral:lncRNA from 1 species
AAAGAACUUUCCUCUGGGGGUUGCCAUGGAAAGAUGUGGUGAGACCCAGCCGGUGGAAGGGAACCUGCCUCCGGAACACAGCCACAAGAUAGAUCUGGACUUCGCCCUGAAGAAGUUCAGACGACACGCCGUGGAUCCGAGCCUCCAUCUCCUGGUCACCCCGAGUUGGAAGGAGCCGCUCCUCAGUGCGUUGAGGAUGUUGGGCAGUCCAGGCUUCUGCUUCAGAGCCUCCCCAGUCAUUUCUUUGUGUGACACAGAGCGAGAAGCUGGCGGACACCAUCUCGACCUCAGAGAGUUCUUCAGCUAAUGUGUGGCCAGAAUGCCUUUCUGGACGACUUUGACUGGAGAGACGUUACCGAUCCUGAGGCACAAGUCUGAAUGAAACAGCUUCAGAGUCCUACCAGUUUAGGGCUGUUAUCUGACAGCUCUUGUGACCGGUACAGAAGCUCUGAACUACCAGAGAACGACUCUACUGACCAUUCCUCCAUUUACGCCAGCCUGGUCAAACACUACAUCUACCACAGGGUAGCAAGUACGGCCGCUCAGUUCACAGACGGUUUGGACAGCUGCAGUGGUUUAUGGGAAACGGUGUGUACCAACUGGGAGGCAUUUGCUCCAGUUAUGACCGGCAUGGGACAUAAAACAAGGAGGACUAGUGCAGAUUGCAGCUUAAGAGGUGGAGAAGGAAUCCAAACAUCACCUAACAUCACAUCAAACAAUGGAGUGAUGCUUCACAAGUAUGGAAUAGUAAAAGGUAUAACCAGUUUUGUUUAUGCGUCACUGAAGUGGUAGCAUUUUAAGUACGUAGUAUAUCCAUGAGAAGUAGUGUGAUAAAAGCAUGGUCUACAGACUUAUAAGAAUGCUGUUCCUGAUGUUUAGGGGGUUGACAAUAUUUGUUUUAUAUAAAUGGUCAGACAAAAGUAGAUAACUCUGAAACAAUGAUAAUCCAAUGUCUACAUCUAAAUGCACCAGUUGCAGAUGUCUACAGAAAAAUUGCAGUGUUCUAAAUCCUAGGGCACAUGGAAAUGUUGUGAUAAAUUUGAUGUUUUAUUUAACAUUUGAAUACACAUUUCAUAUAAUUACAAUUUCAAAUGUACGUAUUUACUAAUGAAAUGCAACCAGGACGGUGUGUCUUCAGUAGUAAUGCAUUAUCUGAAAAUAAAAUUAUAUUUAAAUAUUACAGGCCAUGAUUUUUUUUUUUUUCUUUUGGUGCUUGGUGUUUAUCAAAGGUCAAAUAAUUGGAAUAUUGAAUAUUUGAUCUCUGUACAAUUUGAUUUGCACAAUGCUGCAGAAAGAGCAGGGGUUUCAUCCUGACGUGUCGGAGCACGCAGUGUGGUGUGUGGUGAUGGCUGGUUUAUCCUGUUUGCAUUGAUUGCCAAAUGCACCACAGGUGUGCAGCCUCAACCUGCCCCAGAUUCUAAUCCGGACCGUCCAACUCAGG